GCUGCAGGAGGCUAAUUCAUGGCGGCUGGCCAACAGCGAAGAGCGUCAGAGAAACUUUGGGAAAUUGUGGCAGCUCCUAGUUUCUGGUUUGAGGGUGCACACGCCAUAUUCCAGGCAUUACCUGGGUCCAGGUCGCAAUGGCUGCAGGCUAAGCAGUGUAGCCCAGAUCCUCAUCCUCGUCCUCCUCCCCAGCUGCAUUCACCAGCUCUUCAUGUGGAUCUGACGUGUGCCCAAGCUACAUGAGAUACUGAGUCUCCUCUGGAUUUUAAUUAUGAUGAGGGAAGAUUAGCUGGAUGGUAUGGAGCCCUGAAGCUGACAAAAUGUUAACUGAGUACAUCAAAAAAUAGUGAUGUUAGUUAAAUAAGUGAAAUU